rnacentral:rRNA from 1 species
CUGCGGCCGGCGUACAGGUGCUGCAUGGCUGUCGUCAGCUCGUGCUGUGAAGUGUGGUUAAGUCCCGCAACGAGCGCAACCCUGCUGUCUGUUGCCACCACGAGAGGUGGGGACUCAGGCGGAACUGCCGGUGACAAACCGGAGGAAGUGGGGACGACGUCAAGUCAUCAUGGCCCUUAUGUCCUGGGCUACACACGUGCUACAAUGGCCGGUACAGAGCGCAGCGAGGCCGCGAGGCGGAGCGAAUCGCUUAAAGCCGGUCCCAGUACGGAUUGGAGUCUGCAACCCGACUCCAUGAAGUUGGAAUCGCUAGUAAUCGCGCAUCAGCAUGGCGCGGUGAAUACGUUCCCGGGCCUU